AUUGAACGCUGGCGGCAUGCUUUACACAUGCAAGUCGAACGGUAACAGGGUGCUUGCACCGCUGACGAGUGGCGAACGGGUGAGUAACGCGUCGGAACGUGCCGAGUAGUGGGGGAUAACGCAGCGAAAGUUGUGCUAAUACCGCAUACGUACUGAGGUAGAAAGUGGGGGACCUUCGGGCCUCACGCUAUUCGAGCGGCCGACGUCUGAUUAGCUAGUAGGUGAGGUAAAGGCUCACCUAGGCGACGAUCAGUAGCGGGUCUGAGAGGAUGAUCCGCCACGCUGGGACUGAGACACGGCCCAGACUCCUACGGGAGGCAGCAGUGGGGAAUUUUGGACAAUGGGCGAAAGCCUGAUUCAGCCAUGCCGCGUGUCUGAAGAAGGCCUUCGGGUUGUAAAGGACUUUUGCCGGGGAGGAAAUCCCCAGCGCUAAUACCGCUGGGGGAUGACAGUACCUGAAGAAUAAGCACCGGCUAGCUACGUGCCAGCCGCCGCAGUAAGAC
rnacentral:rRNA from 1 species